GACGAACGCUGGCGGCGUGCUUAACACAUGCAAGUCGAACGGAAAGGCCCUGCUUUUGUGGGGUUCUCGAGUGGCGAACGUGUGAGUAACACGUGAGUAACCUUCCCUUUACUUUGUGAUAACUUCAGGCAACUGGUGCUAAUACCGGAUACGUGCUCCUGCUGCAUGGUGGGGUUUGGACCGUUUCGGCGGUUGGGGAUGGACUCGCGGGUUAUCAGCUUGUUGGUGGGGUAGUGGCUUACCAAGGCUUUGACGGGUAGCCGGCCUGAGAGGGUGACCGGCCACAUUGGGACUGAGGUACGGCGCAGACGCCUACGGGAGGCAGCAGUGGGGAAUAUUGCACAAUGGGCGGAAGCGUGAUGCAGAAACGCCGCGUGCGGGAUGACGGCCUUCGGGUUGUAAACCGCUUUCGCCUGUGACGAAGCGGGAGUGACGGUAAUGGGUAAAGAAGCACCGGCUAACUACGUG
rnacentral:rRNA from 1 species